CGGGGCGUGGCGCAGCCCGGUAGCGCACUUGCAUGGGGUGCAAGGGGUCGGAGGUUCAAAUCCUCUCGCCCCGA
rnacentral:tRNA from 2 species